rnacentral:lncRNA from 1 species
CCGACACAGCCCUAACCGGGGUGUCACAAGUCACGAGCAUCUAUUAGAGUAUAAAUACAACUACAAGGUUUGAAAUGUACAAAAACAGGACUGAUGAAAAAAAAGGGAGAAAAGCGGUGCUGCGAACGCUGACAGCCACCUCACUAAACUCCGAUAACCCUGCCUCCAAUUAGCCAAAACCCGCUACCGGGUGUAUAAAUACCUGUAUCUGCACACAAGGUGCAGGGAGUAAAGUGAGUACUCCAACUCAGUGAGUAAUAAAGGUAAAUAAUAACUGAGCAGUAAGAAAUCACGUAAAGCAAAUCAACAUGCUGUGUAGAAGCAGUAUAAAACCUUUUGAGAAAAAGCAAUGAAGCGGUGAAGUCUUUAGAAACAUCUUAGCUCAGUUUAAACCUUUUCUAAAAAUGACUUUUUCAAUAGUUACGCAAAUGAAUGCAAAACAGUUAGUGCCGAUAAGCAUAGAAAAUCCACCCCUCGGGCACAAAUACCACAGUAUAAAAGGUAAAAUGAUAAGUAAAUAUGAAAGAUGAACACAUAAAGGUUUGCCUCUCGGGCAAUAUCUCAGAAUAGUACCAGCCCCUCGGGCUCACUCUCAGAAUAAUAUCAGCCCCUCGGGCUCACUCUCAGAACAAUAUCAGUCCCCCGGGCUCACUCUCAGAUCAUGAUGGAUACUCGCGCUCACUGUGGGUGUGCAGACUCCGAAGGGACCCCUUACGACCCAAGCGCUAUAUCAAGACACCUCAUGGCAUCAUCUCUCGGCACUCAGCCUCACAUCACUCAAGCCACCCCGUGGCGUAUAAAUGUAUCUCAGGCCCUCAGCCUCAUAUCACUCAGUGUAUCCUUACAUCUGGCCCUCGGCCGCACUCAGUCAGAAAAUCAUCACAAGCCCUCGGGCAUUAGUAAAACAGUAGUUCUCAGCCCAAAACAUCAUUUAGAAAUAUCAUAUAAAUUUUAAAUAAGAGUAAAAGUGGCUGAGUUUGUUAAACAGUAGAUAUCAACAGGACUGAGUUCAAAUAAUAAGUCAAAGCAGCGAGAAAAUAGUGAUAAAAAUCACCGAAGGGUUCAAAUAGUUGGGACGAAGACCAAAUGUGGCAAUCAUUCCAAAUCAUGAUGAUAACAAAUAAAUUUCAGUCAAAUACGCGGUAAAACCAUCAAUUGGGAUGGACCAAGUCACAAUCCCCAGUAGUAAAUCUGAAGCUGCAAUACAAAUUCCAAUUUCCCCGCUAACCAUCCGAAAUCACCCCGAGGCCCUCGGGACCUCCACCAAAAGCACCAACAUGACCCAAUAUCUUAUUCAAACUUGCUCCAAUAAUCAAAAUAACUCAAACAACACCAAUCUACCAAAUCACAUUGAAUUCAAGCCCAUGUUUAUAAAAUUUUCUAAAAUACACUUUCGAUCAAAAACCCAACCAAUCCACGUCUGAAUGACCUAAAAUUUUACACACAUACCAAAUGACACCACGAAGAUACUGCAACUCUCAGAAUUUCAUUCCGGCCUCUAUAUCAAAAUCUCACUUAUCAACCGGAAAACGUCGAAAUCUCAAUUUCUCCAAUUCAAGACAAAACCUUCCACGGACUUCCAAAAAUGCAUUCUGAUCAUGCUCCUAAGUCCCAAAUAACCUAAAGGAGCUAACCAAAUCAUAAAAAUCCCGAUAUGAGAUCAUAUACAAACAAGUCAAAUCUUGGUCAAACCUUUUAAAUUUUAAGCUUUAAACUGGGAAUUGUUCUUCCAAUUUCAUUCCGAUUACCCUAAAAACCAAAACCAACGAUUAACAUAAGUCGUAAUACAUCACACGGGGAAAGUCAUGCCCGAGAACUAGCGAUCAAAAGUGCAAAAGCUCAAAAUGACCGGUCGGGUUGUUACACUAGACUAGCCAGACAGACUUUGUCAGCUCUAGCUACGUGCCUUGGUAACUUCCCAUUUUUUCACCAUAACUAACAAUCUAUACUGCCCCGAGGUCGGGCGUCGAUAGUCCCCGGGGGCGAAUCUCGACCAUAGCCUCGAGCCUUUGAAAACGUGCUUACGAGGCAUCGUAAUGACGAAAAAUUGGACCCUCCGAUUUUAAUGUAUACAUUAAUAUAGAAGCUGGUCAACAUGCAAGCCGAAAUAAUUAAAUGUAUAAGUAGCACGUGAGAUGCAUCACGAUGGUCGUUUUAGUUUUGGGUACACCUGUCCUAGACGAACCCAACCCCUGUAUUCAAUUCCCAAAGUCAAAUGCAUGUGAUGGAAACAAGCGUUCCUACUAGGGAUCCGACAUGAGGCUAUGUUAUUCUAGGUUUAUAAACCUGGGUGUAUUGUUCUAGACCUGGCUUACCCAAGCGAACAACUCGAGCUGGAGGGGUAACAUACCGGGAAUACAGAAGCUUCACCAGCUUUGCAACUUGUCCAAACCUCGCUCUAAACUGGGAUAUUACUCUAAUAGAAAAGAAGCCACGCGAAGCACACGCUUCCCAGAAGAUUUAGAAGACUCAAAGAGAAGAGGCUUUCGUAAAUGUUUUUAUAUACAGUUCAAUAAAUAUCAAAGCGGUAAAAAAACGACAUUUAGCACAUUAGGCUCAAACAUGCAAAAAUCAGAUAAUAGAUAAAAGCCAAGUAUAACAGUUGUUCUAAGCUCGAAUUAUGAACCCUGAACCAGAAGUUCUGGGUUUUUAUCCCCAGCAGAGUUGCCAGAGCUGUCACACCUCCUUUUUUCCCGAGGGGAUAGAGUAUAGGGUGUUUUUCCAAUUUAUAUGACAUUGUUCGAAAUGGGAUUAUUUAUUUAAUUUCAUAGUCGCCACUUGGAAUAAUUUGGUGUUCCAAGUCACCAGUUUAUUUUAAAUCUAAAAUCGAGGAAAAUUGAUUAUAUUUUUGGUCCGCGAAACACAGAAGACCGGGUAAGGAAUUCUAUUAAUGCAGGAGAAGGUGUAAGGCACUUCCGAGUUCCGUGGUUUUAGCAUGAUUGCUCAACUAUUAAUAUUUAUCCUAAUUAUCUGAUUUAUUACAAGUUUUAAACAUACUGUGCACUUUUUAACUUUUUAACCGUUUUUAAUUAUUAUGGAGUUUAUUUAAAUAAGUCUGGAUGACGCACACUUAUUGUUUUGGUACACAUUGCAAACCACUCAACAUGAAAUGCACCCGCAAUUUGCGAUAUAUUUAUUUUUAUUAUUAUUGUUUGAAGUUAUGGUUUGGUCAAAUGAAAUGCACACUCGAAUGAGAUUUACGUAUCGUGAUCAUGCCACGGGUACCGUACCCAUGGCCACGAUGAUUUAUUUAUUAAUCGUGCCUAAAACAAGCGUAUUUGAGUUAUUUUCCUAAACUACUUUGAGAUUUUUGUGAAAGCCAUGAGUUAUGGAAUUUAUUGUGGAAGAAAUAAAUUAUUACUAAGCGUCAUUUGUUUGUGAAGUAAUGCAAUUAUUCAUAUUUACUCUAGUGAAAUCAACUAGAAAGAAGGAAUUACUAUAGCAAUUAAAGAUACCAAAUACAGCCAAACAAAAUAAUGUCUGAAACAAUCAGCAACGAAACAACCAAUUCAAAAUUGGGCACGAGAUUAAUAUAAUCAAACAAUACCCAAUUGACAAACAAAUCUACUGAUAAACACCAAAUAGCAUGACUAAGAAAUAGCUCAAGGGAACAUAAUCUUUAUCUUCUUAAAAAAAAUAUCUAAAGCUUAAGAUAAGAGAGAAAGGCUUUUCACACAUCACAGACAAAUCAAGAAUAAUAACAUCUUGCACAAAAGAAAACAAAACCAAUCUAAAACAAGAAUGUAAAAGACGAUUAAAACUACAGAUGAGAUAAAAUAAUGGACCUUCAAACUGCUUUCUUCAUUAAAAUGAUCCUUCGGCAAACUUUUACAGCAUCAGUUAUUUGAUGCGAACAAAGACCGAAAUCGACGUCGGACACCUCACACACAAACUCGACGGCAACGCUACUUCGAACCCCAACUCGAUGGUGUUAAACUAACUCUAUCGCAGGUGAUUUAAAGGUAUUUUAUAGUGGUGCUACAGCUAAUUUUCAGGGGUGGGUUAAGGCUGUUGGUGGGUCAUGUUUGUGGCUGGUUUUGUGGUGGUGUCAAGACCUGUUUUAGCUGCAUUUUUAGCAGCUUUUCAGGUGUUUUGGGACCGUUUCGAUGGUAUUUUUUUUAGGUGGCUUUCAGCUCAUGUUUGGAGCUGUUUUGAGGGGGGGGGGGGGUAAUUUCGACGACAGAUCUCUUAUGUCUUUGAGGUGAUGAGAGAUUCAAGAACCAUGAAAAUGGUGUGGCUGAUUGUUGGUGAAAAUAUGAGAAAAUCUUGGUCUCUUUAGAAAGAGGAAAACAACAGCUGAGUCCUAGUCUUUUUUUUCGUUGCUUUUUCUUUUUAGUCUCCUUUUUGUUUUGUGUGUGUGUGUGUGUAUGUUGAAGGGUGGUGUUGAAGUGUGGAAACGGUUGAUCAUAAAGCCAAAAAAUGUAGAUUAAACUUAAAAUAUAUUCACCUUAUUAAAAGUGAUGAAAAACUCAAAUAUAGUUAAAAAUUAGGUGCUCACACUCACAUUUAAUUUGUUUAGAAAUUUA